ACACAGAUGGGAGGUGGUCCACGAAGUGAUUUCAGAUUGGACGCGUGAGGUGACUGCGCGCUAGCGCACCUCGACUGCUUCGAGGGGCGCCGCCCGGCGCAAUUCCCAGCAGUUCACCGCAGCCCGUGGGCCGUGCAGGUCGUCCCCUGCACUCGUCGCACCGAGUUCGCUCGGUCGACAGGCCCGCGGGCUGUUCCAU
rnacentral:sRNA from 1 species